UUCUUUUCAAACAAUAAGUGCCCUACCUCUCACUUAUCGUUACGGUUCCUAGACCGAGCCACUUGAAUGAAAAAAAUGUAUGCCGU
rnacentral:sRNA from 1 species